AUUGAACGCUGGCGGCAGGCCUAACACAUGCAAGUCGAACGAGUGGCGGACGGGUGAGUAAUGUCUGGGCAACUGCCCGAUGGAGGGGGAUAACUCCUGGAAACGGUAGCUAAUACCGCAUACCCUCGGAUGUGCCCAGGUGGGAUUGGCUAGGAGGUGGGGUAAAGGCUCACCUCGGCGACGAUCUCUAGCUGGUCGGAGAGGAUGACCAGCCACACGGGAACUGAGACACGGGCCAGACGCCUACGGGAGGCAGAAGUGGGGAAUAUUGCACAAUGGGCGCAAGCCUGAUGCAGCCAUGCCGCGUGUAUGAAGAAGGCCUUCGGGUUGUAAAGUACUUUCAGCGAGGAGGCGUUACUCGCAGAAGAAGCACCGGCUAACUCCGUGCCAGCAGCCGCGGUAAUUC
rnacentral:rRNA from 1 species